GACGAACGCUGGCGGCGUGCUUAACACAUGCAAGUCGAACGGACCCUUUGGGGUUAGUGGCGAACGGGUGAGUAACACGUGGGUGCUCUGCCCUGCACUUUGGGAUAAGCCUGGGAAACUGGGUCUAAUACCGGAUAGGACUACGCACUGCAUGGUGUGUGGUGGAAAGCUUUUGCGGUGUGGGAUGGGCCCGCGGCCUAUCAGCUUGUUGGUGGGGUGAUGGCCUACCAAGGCGACGACGGGUAGCCGGCCUGAGAGGGUGACCGGCCACACUGGGGCUGAGAUACGGCCCAGACUCCUACGGGAGGCAGCAGUGGGGAAUACUGCACAAUGGGCGCAAGCCUGAUGCAGCGACGCCGCGUGAGGGAUGACGGCCUUCGGGUUGUAAACCUCUUUCGCCAGGGACGAAGCGCAAGUGACGGUACCUGGAGAAGAAGGACCGGCCAACUACGUGCCAGCCGCCGCUGUAACAC
rnacentral:rRNA from 1 species